CGGUAGCAGGCUGGCGGCUUCGUCUGGAAACGGGCGGGGUCGAAGCCCAGCGUCGAAGGCCCUGUGAGGGGGAGCGACAGUGCGGUCCGUAGCAUAA
rnacentral:misc_RNA from 1 species